rnacentral:rRNA from 1 species
AGCCCAAGAUUGAAAGCUGGCGUCUUCGGCGUCCGCAUUGUAAUCUCAAGAAGUGUUUUCCGCUUCGGACCAUGCCUAAGUCCCUUGGAAAAGGGCAUCAUAGAGGGUGAUAAUCCCGUACAUGGCAUGGAGCGCCCGAAGCUUUGUGAUACGCUUUCUAAGAGUCGAGUUGUUUGGGAAUGCAGCUCAAAAUGGGUGGUAAAUGCCAUCUAAGGCUAAAUAUUGGGGAGAGACCGAUAGCGAACAAGUACAGUGAUGGAAAGAUGAAAAGAACUUUGAAAAGAGAGUUAAACAGUACGUGAAAUUGCCAAAAGGGAAGGGUAGGAGGUCAGAGAUGCGGCCUGGGAUUCAGCCUUGCUUUUGCUUGGUGUUUUUCCCAGAUUGCAGGCCAACGUCGGUUUUGGGCACUGGAGAAGGGUAGGAGGAACGUGGCACCUCUCGGGGUGUGUUAUAGCCUCCUACUGGAUACAGCGACCGAGACCGAGGACAGCAGCGUACUCGCAAGAGCGGGCCUUCGGGCACCUUUACGCUUAGGGCGUUGGCAUAAUGGCCCUCUACCACCCGUCUU